UGAACUAGCAUAUCAUAGCGAGGAAAAGAACAACAGGAUUGCCCAGUACGGCGAGUGAGCGGCAAGAGCUCAAAUUGAAAGCUGGCCCCUCGGGUCCGCAUUGUAAUUUGCAGAGGAUGCUUCGGGAGUGGCCCCCAUCUAAGUGCUCUGGAACGGGCCGUCAUAGAGGGUGAGAAUCCCGUAUGGGAUGGGGUGUCCGCGACCAUGUGAAGCUCCUUCAACGAGUCGAGUUGUUUGGGAAUGCAGCUCUAAAUGGGUGGUAAAUUUCAUCUAAAGCUAAAUAUUGGCCGGAGACCGAUAGCGCACAAGUAGAGUGAUCGAAAGAUGAAAAGCACUUUGAAAAGAGAGUUAAAAAGCACGUGAAAUUGUUGAAAGGGAAGCGCUUGCGACCAGACUCGCCUGCGGGGUUCAGCCGGUAUUCGUACCGGUGUACUUCCCCGUGGGCGGGCCAGCGUCGGUUUGGGCGGCCGGUCAAAGGCCCUCGGAAUGUAACGCCUCUCGGGGCGUCUUAUAGCCGAGGGUGCCAUGCGGCCAGCCCGGACCGAGGAACGCGCUUCGGCACGGACGCUGGCAUAAUGGUCGUAAGCGACCCGUCUUGAAACACGGACCAAGGAGUCUAACAUCUACGCGAGUGUUCGGGUGUCAAACCCGUGCGCGCAGUGAAAGCGAACGGAGGUGGGAACCCUCACGGGUGCACCAUCGACCGAUCCUGAUGUCUUCGGAUGGAUUUGAGUAAGAGCGUAGCUGUUGGGACCCGAAAGAUGGUGAACUAUGCCUGAAUAGGGCGAAGCCAGAGGAAACUCUGGUGGAGGCUCGCAGCGGUUCUGACGUGCAAAUCGAUCGUCAAAUUUGGGUAU
rnacentral:rRNA from 1 species